rnacentral:lncRNA from 8 species
AUGGCAGGUAAAUUAGUUGUAUUAUUAUUCAUAUUAUUAUUAUUAGCCAAAUUUUCUGAUGAGGCAAACCCACGAGCAAUGAGAAGAGACACAUACACACAGACACACACACACAGAGAAACACACAGACACAGAGAGACACACAGACACACACAGAGAAACACACAGACACAGAGAGACACACAGACACACACCGAGAGACACAGACACACAGAGAGACAGACAGAGAGACACACAGACAUACACAGAGAGACACAUAGACACACAGAGAGACACAAACAGAGACACACACACAGAGACACACAAACACACAGAGAGACACACACGCAUACACACACAGAGAGACACACACACAUACACACACAGAGAAACACACACGCAUACACACACAGAGAGACACACAGACACACAGAGAGAGACACAGACACACAGAGAGACACACAGAGAGACACACACACAUACACACACAGAGAAACACACACGCAUACACACAGAGAGACACAUACACACACAGAGAAACACACACGCAUACACACACAGAGAGACACACAGACACACAGAGAGACACACAGACACACAGAGAGACACACACAGAGACACACACACAGACACACACACAGAGACACACAGACACACAGAAAUACACACACACAUGCACACACAGAGAGACACACAGACACACAGAGAGACACACAUACACACACAGAGAGACACACAGACACACAGAGAAACACACAGACACAGAGAGACACAGACACACACAGAGAGACACAGACACACAGCGAGAGACACAGACACACAGAGAGACACACAGAGAGACACACAGACAUACACAGAGAGACACACAGACACACAGAGAGACACACACACAGAGAGACACAAACAGAGACACACACACAGAGACACACAAACACACAGAGAGACACACACGCAUACACACACAGAGAGACACACACACAUACACACACAGAGAAACACACACGCAUACACACACAGAGAGACACACAGACACACAGAGAGACACAGACACACACAGAGAGACACAGACACACAGCGAGAGACACAGACACACAGAGAGACACACAGAGAGACACACAGACAUACACAGAGAGACACACAGACACACAGAGAGACACACACACAGAGAGACACAAACAGAGACACACACACAGAGACACACAAACACACAGAGAGACACACACGCAUACACACACAGAGAGACACACACACAUACACACACAGAGAAACACACACGCAUACACACACAGAGAGACACACAGACACACAGAGAGACACACAUACACACACAGAGAGACACAGACACACAGCGAGAGACACAGACACACAGAGAGACACACACACAUACACACACAGAGAAACACACAUGCAUACACACACAGAGAGACACAUACACACACAGAGAAACACACACGCAUACACACACAGAGAGACACACAGACACACAGAGAGACACACAGACACACAGAGAGACACACACACACAGAGACACACACAGAGACACACACACAGAGACACACAGACACACAGAAAGACACACACACAUACACACACAGAGAGACACACAGACACACAGAGAGACACACAUACACACACAGAGAGACACACAGACACACAGAGAGACACAUACACACACAGAGAGACACACAGACACACAGAGACACACACAUAUAUACACACAGAGAGACACACAGACACACAGAGAGACACACAGACACACAGAGAGACACACAGACACACAGAGAGACACACAGAGAGACACACACACAGAGAGACACACAGACACACAGAGAUGACUCAUAG